CCUACGGGUGGCUGCAGUGAGGAAUAUUGGUCAAUGGGCGCGAGCCUGAACCAACCAAGUCGCGUGAGGGAAGACGGUCCUAUGGAUUGUAAACCUCUUUUGUCGGGGAGCAAAAGACGCCACGCGUGGCGUUCCGAGAGUACCCGAAGAAAAAGCAUCGGCUAACUCCGUGCCAGCAGCCGCGGUAAUACGGAGGAUGCGAGCGUUGAACGGAUUUAUUGGGGUUAAGGGGUGCCCAGGCGGAAUCACAAAUCAGCGGUAAGAUUGAGAGGCUCAACCUCUUCGAGCCGUUGAAACUGGUUUUCGUGAGUGAGUGAGAAGUAUGCGGAAUGCGUGGUGUAGCGGUGAAAUGCAUAGAUAUCACGCAGAACUCCGAUUGCGAAGGCAGCAUACCGGCGCUCAACUGACGCUCAUGCACGAAAGUGUGGGUAUCGAACAGGAUUAGAUACCCCAGUAGUC
rnacentral:rRNA from 1 species